GGCCCGGUAGCGGAUGGUCCACGCCUGCUUUCAAUGGGCCCUUAAGCUUCAUCUACAGAUACAUGCAGAAGUCGCUCGUUCGAAUCGAGCCCGGGCCA